AUUGAACGCUGGCGGCAUGCCUUACACAUGCAAGUCGAACGGUAACAGGUUAAGCUGACGAGUGGCGAACGGGUGAGUAAUAUAUCGGAACGUGCCCAGUAGUGGGGGAUAGCCCGGCGAAAGCCGGAUUAAUACCGCAUACGACCUACGGGUGAAAGGGGGGGAUCGCAAGACCUCUCGCUAUUGGAGCGGCCGAUAUCGGAUUAGGUAGUGGGUGGGGAAAAGGCCUACCAAGCCUGCGAUCUGUAGUUGGUCUGAGAGGACGACCAGCCACACUGGGACUGAGACACGGCCCAGACUCCUACGGGAGGCAGCAGUGGGGAAUUUUGGACAAUGGGCGCAAGCCUGAUCCAGCAAUGCCGCGUGCAGGAAGAAGGCCUUCGGGUUGUAAACUGCUUUUGUCAGGGAAGAAAUCCUCUGGGUUAAUACCUCGGGGGGAUGACGGUACCUGAAGAAUAAGCACCGGCUAACUACGUGCCAGCAGCCGCGGUAAAAC
rnacentral:rRNA from 1 species